AUUGAACGCUGGCGGAAUGCUUUACACAUGCAAGUCGAACGGCAGCACGGGGCAACCUGGUGGCGAGUGGCGAACGGGUGAGUAAUAUAUCGGAACGUGCCCAAUCGUGGGGGAUAACGUAGCGAAAGUUACGCUAAUACCGCAUACGAUCUACGGAUGAAAGCGGGGGAUCGCAAGACCUCGCGCGAAUGGAGCGGCCGAUAUCAGAUUAGGUAGUUGGUGGGGUAAAGGCUCACCAAGCCAACGAUCUGUAGCUGGUCUGAGAGGACGACCAGCCACACUGGAACUGAGACACGGUCCAGACUCCUACGGGAGGCAGCAGUGGGGAAUUUUGGACAAUGGGCGCAAGCCUGAUCCAGCCAUUCCGCGUGCAGGAUGAAGGCCUCGGGUUGUAAC
rnacentral:rRNA from 1 species